rnacentral:rRNA from 1 species
UCAAAAACAUUGCCCUAUGUAUAAAAUAUGGGGUAACUCCUGCCCAGUGAUAAAAAUUCAACGGCCGCGGUAUCCUAACCGUGCAAAGGUAGCAUAAUCACUUGCCUAUUAAUUGUAGGCUAGAAUGAAAGGAUAAACGAAAUAAAGACUGUCUCAAUUAAUAAAAUAAAAAUUAUUCUCUAUAUGAAGAAAUAUAGAUAAAAUCGAAGGACAAGAAGACCCUAUAGAGCUUUAUUUAAAACAUAAAUAAAUAUUAUGUAAAAAUUCGGUUGGGGCGACCGAGGAAUACACAUCAUCCUCAAAUAAAUAGAUACAUAAAUCUAAGUAAUGACCCUAAGAAGAUCCAAAGAACAAGCUACCUUAGGGAUAACAGGCUAAUCCCAUUUAAGAGUUCAUAUCAACAAUGGGGUUUGGCACCUCGAUGUUGGCUUAGGGUAUCAAUAUAACGCAAAAGCUAUAUUAUGAUGGUUUGUUCAACCAAUAAUUCCCUACGUGAUCU